rnacentral:rRNA from 1 species
CUANACAAUGCGAGUCAUGCGUCUCUAGCUAUGUUGAGACGCGGCAGACGGCUCAGUAACGCGUGGCUAACCUACCCUCAGGACGAAGAUAACCCCGGGAAACUGGGGAUAAUAUUCGAUAGGUGAGGAUGUCUGGAAUGACUUCUCUCCUAAAGGACUUAGAUACAUGCUUCUAUUUCGCCUGGGGAUGGGGCCGCGCCCGAUCAGGUUGUUGGUGAGGUAACGGCUCACCAAGCCUAUAACCGGUACGGGCCGUGAGAGCGGUAGCCCGGAGAUGGGUACUGAGACAAGGACCCAGGCCCUACGGGGCGCAGCAGUCGCGAAAACUCCGCAAUGCACGAAAGUGUGACGGGGCUACCCCGAGUGCCAUCCGCUGAGGAUGGCUUUUCUUUUGGUAUAACUAGCCAUGGGAAUAAGGAGAGGGCAAGACUGGUGUCAGCCGCCWCGGUAAUACCAGCUCUCCGAGUGGUAGGGAUGAUUAUUGGGCUUAAAGCGUCCGUAGCCGGCUUAGCAAGUUUCCUGUUAAACCCAGCGACUCAAUCGUUGGAUCGCGGGAAAUACUACUAGGCUAGGAGGCGGGAGAGGUCAACGGUACUUCUGGGGUAGGGGUGAAAUCCUAUAAUCCCGGGAGGACCACCAGUGGCGAAGGCUGUUGACUAGAACGCGCUCGACGGUGAGGGACGAAAGCUGGGGGAGCGAACCGGAUUAGAUACCCGGGUAGUCCCAGCUGUAAACGAUGCAAGCUAGGUGUUGGAAUGGCUACGGGCCAUUUCAGUGCCGCAGGGAAGCCAUUAAGCUCGCCGCCUGGGGAGUACGGCCGCAAGGCUGAAACUUAAAGGAAUUGGCGGAGGAGCACCACAAGGCGUGAAGCUUGCGGUUC